UACAGGGGGGGCAAGCGUUGUUCGGAAUUACUGGGCGUAAAGGGCUUGUAGGUGGCCAAUUAAGUCAGACGUGAAAUCCCUCAGCUUAACUGGGGAACUGCGUCUGAUACUGGAUGGCUUGAGUUUGGGAGAGGGAUGCGGAAUUCCAGGUGUAGCGGUGAAAUGCGUAGAUAUCUGGAGGAACACCGAUGGCGAAGGCAGCCCCCUGGGUCAAGAUUGACGCUCAUGCACGAAAGCGUGGGGAGCAAACAGG
rnacentral:rRNA from 1 species